GUGCGGACCAGCUCGUACGUCGGGUGUGGGUCAUAUCGCUCUGUUCCUUGGCUUUUUCUCUGUGAAAAAUGUAAGAUGAAUCGAAAGGUUACGAAAGAAACUAUUUCAAACAACUUCGGACCGUUCCUAAUUAACUAGACUUUGAAAAGGGAUAUAAGAAUAAAGACAGAGGAGAAGAAAGAACAAGAAGAAGGAAAACAGAAA
rnacentral:lncRNA from 1 species